CCUCAAAGAAGAGGACAGCCUUUUUAUGCUUCUUGGCUGCUUUGUGGGGCAUGGGCAUGGGAAGACCAUCGAGGCCUUGGUGGGCCUCUUUGGCUGCCAUGCUCAAGCUGAUAUCCAUGCCACAGCCGCUGGCCCUCCUGCUCUGCCUUCCAGUCUGUGGUGCCCACUGCCAGUCGCCAGCCCCCACCUCCGACCUCUCCUCACAAAGCUGCUGUGAGCUGGGCCGGGCAGCAUGAUCAAAUUCUGCCUCGGUGCUGGAAGGGAGCCUGUGUCUGACCAGGCUCAGCCAGCGCCAACGCCAGAUGUAACCCGAGUGGCACCAGGGCCUGGCCUGGCUAAAUAUAAAACCAUCUCAGCCCGAGUCCCCACCAAAGGAGCCACAGUCCUCCCCUGAGGGCUACCCUCAUACAGGCAGUUAAUUGGGUGGGCACAGGCCCUCAGAAGUGCCAGGGGCAUGAAGAAGGAAAAGGCCCACAGCCAUGGCAGGCGCCGCAAGCCCAGCCCCGGUGUGCAGCCCUGGCCAACAGGUUACCCAGCCUGGGGAAAUGCCAGCUAUCUGGAGAAUCUCCGAGACAGAUCAUCCAUUUCCACUUCUAAGCUGUAAGGGACACUGGAUUAUUUCCCUUGUGCAUUUGUGUUCCCAGGGAGGUGACAAAUUCCAGAGGUACUGGUGCAGAGUUCCCAAGUCCCUCCACCUCCCUCUCCACCGCCUCACUCCUCACAGCUCCUACCACAUCAGGCCAACACAAUGUGCUCACCCAUGGACGAGCCUACCAAAGCCCAACACAUACCCUCCCAACACAUACCCUGCCUGCACCCCUGGGGUCCACAGUCCCCAAAGGAGAAACCUGCAGGCUGAGGCCAGAAAAUAUGCAUAGGGGCAGGGUAAGGAGGCAGGAGCCCCAGGGGAUCUGACCCAUCGGACCCAGCAGGUCAGAGAAGAUGCUCAACACUGCCCAUGCUGGCUGGGGGAGACCCAAGGGCUAUGCGGAGAUCUGCCACUUUUUUCCAGAAGAAGGGGGCAUCACAGGCCAGAGAAGCCAACUGUUGCCACCUACAUGCUCCCAACAACAGAGGCCAUGGCACGAUCCCAGAUCUGCUAGGGGUCCUUGAGAAGGCAUGGGUGGGCCGACAUGGUGCUGGCACACAGAAAGUGUAUGCAUGUGUGUAUGUGUGCAUGUACAGGUCGGGAAGCCCCCACGGAGGUAACCCUACACAGUGAUGCUGCCCUGUAGGGCCUGGGCUUGAGUUCAGAGCAAGGUUCCUAUGCCAGGCAGUGGUACCCAGGCCUGCUUGCCCAUAUGUGCCAGAGCCUACAUCAUGGACACAGCAUACUCUGGGGCAGAUGGCUGAAUCCACACAAGGACAAUCAGUGCCAGACUGAGCUGUCAUACGCUGGGACCCCUCUAAAGAGGACCGAGAGGGGAGGAGCACAUGAGGAAUGUGCUAGAAGGGGCGAGGUGGCAGGGCUCUGGGCUGGGGCUAUAUUAAUAGUUGCUGAGCCCCUAGAGUCCAUGUGAAUCACAGGAGGGCGGCACAGUGUGCACUGGGAGGGAAGGCCAUGGAGUUCCUGCUGAACCACUCAACAGCUUAAAAUACAACCAGCCCCUCUCCCUACUGGGCCAGCUGCCGGGGAGGGCUGAAAUCCUAGCCUCUCCCCCAGCUGGGGCACUGCAGCCAGGCCAGGAGCCGUGGUGCACCAACUGGUGGGCAGCAGGAGAGCGCGUGGAGAGGGGCCACGGUGAAGAGCAAUCCCAAGCCACAAGCUGAGGGACUGCCUGCAGCAGAGGAAGACUCGGGCAAGCCAGGAAGCUUAAGGAAGCCAGAGACCCUGAGGAUGAACUGACUAGAGGUGUUCGACGGCCACUGUCCGUUAUGCCCGCCCCUGGCUCCACCCAAGCCGGCAGGCAGGUGAGUCCACGCAUGCGCCGCAUGCGCUCAGCUUGCCAGAAUAAUCCCCUUUGACUGUGAAAAACCAACGCACAUUCCAGACACUGGAAAUCUGGAGAGCCGGCCACAUUAGGACAAACAUCUUUGCCAGGAACUCGCUGAGCAUAUAUAAGGUCUAGUUUUAACCCCCAGCGUAAAGGAAAGACAGCAAGGGAAUGAAUAUGUAAAGCAAAUAGGUCUACAUGAGGUGACAUCACAUCACAAAACAUCACACGGGACAGACACAGGUGUGGUGGAGGCAGGACGUACAUGAAGUUUUCUAUACAAAGUGGUCAAGAAAAACCUCCCUAGUCAUACUUCAGAAGGCACAGGCAGGUGGAUCUGAGUGUGAGGCUAGCCUGGCCUACGUGAGUGUCGGGCUGGCCAGGCUAGAGUACUUAGUGAAAUCCUGUCAGGAGAGGGAGGGUGAGGAUGCAGCUCCCUGAUGGGGCUCUCGGUCAAGCCCUGAAAGAAUCAAGGCUGAAGGUGGCCAUCCUCACAGAAGAGCAGCUGUGCCAAGGGCCUCAAGUUAAGCGGAACAGAUGCUCACAGAUGUGUGGUCUGGAGUCAUAUGCAUGAGAGGAAGAAGAUGAGGUGGAAAUGCAGAGGUGACAUGGCAGACGGUCCUAAGGGCUGGGUGAGGAGAGGCCUGACUUGAGUUUAAAUCUGCUUGCUUUGCUGUGACUGCUGACAUGGCGUUUCACUGUGUAGUCAGUCCUCUCUGACCUGGAACUCAUUCCAUGCCUGUAGUGGUCUGCAGCCUCCUGGGUGCUCGGAUUAAAGGCGAGCACCACCAACCCCAGCUGUGGCUUGAAUUCUUAAGGGAUCCUUUUGAGAGAAUUAGUAGUCUGGAAGCAGAGGCCUGCCAGAGGCUGUGAAAAUAAUUCCCUCCAAACAGCAGCAGCGCUAGACACGGGAGCACACAGGAGGGUACUGGCAGUACACCGGAAAGGUCAGACUGAGACCCUCCAUCCAUCCAUCCCAUUAAACACCUACCUGGAAGCUAGACACCCCAGCACUGAGAGGUUGAAACAAGAGGAUCUCAAGUUCAGGCCAGCCUGGGCUACAUGGCAAAAACUUUAUCUCAAAAAUAAAGAUACACCUGGAUCUGGAUGGGGCUCAGAAUGCGGUCCUGUAGGUUUUGCCUAGAAGACUCAAUGCGCGCACACACACACAAUUACAUUUUAAAAUACACACAUAUAUUAUACUGUUUAUUAUCACUAUCUCCUGCUUAAGGAGUAAUAGGAAUCACCUCUACUGUACUAAAAAUUUUAUUUACAAUGAUGGGAUUCUAUUAGUCUAUAACAUCUGAACAAUAAGUUAAUAACAAAAUAUCAUUUUUUUUAAUUACAAUAAGAAAGGCAGGAAUGGGUGGGAUGUGGAUACUUCAGGGGGCCAAGGCAGCAGCAGUACUGGCUCCUAGAGAAGCUGCUGGCUGCUGUGACAGCAGGUGUAACAGGUGACAGCUGCCAUGACAGCAGGUGCUACAGGUGACAGCUGCCAUGACAGCAGGUGCAACAGGUGACAGCUGCCAUGACAGCAGGUGCAACAAGUGACAGCUGCCAUGACAGCAGGUGCUGCAGGUGACAGCUGCAGUAACAGCAGGCACAACAGGUGACAGCUGUCUGCCUACCUGCUGAACAGCACACCUGAAGGCCAGCCGAUCCUGCUGACCAAAUGGAGACUUCCUGUGAGUGUGAGACAGGAUCUGUCACAUACAGACCUUCCAGGGAUAGAAGAUUCAGAAGGUGGCAGGAGGGACACAGGAGGGAUACAGGCCCUUGUACUCCCCAGGGCUAAGUGGAAAAGGCUCCGCUUGCAACAAAAACUAUGCCCAGCUUCUAAGCUAUUUAUCUUGGAAGCAAGGCAGGGCGAGGCUGAAAAUAAGCAGUGGCCCUGUGCCUUUCCAAAUGCAAUGGUUCUGUGAGAGCCCCAGAGGACGUAAAAUAGGCUGCCCUCUGACAGUUACACAUUAGGCCAGAUCAACAGGUAAGAGAGUUUCAUCAUCCCCGGCAUAAAGUCCACAGGUCCUCAGGGAAGCUAGAGAAUCAUGCCCUGCCCAGCCAGCCUGUCUAACAUGGAACUCCCAGAACAAGGAAGGCUGGGCUCCAGGUAGUGUCUGCUGUCUGAGCAGGGCUGUGAGGACCCGGUCAGGGAUGAGGGCAAUCCCAAACCUGGCCAAGGCACUGCAGAGAGCUUGGCCAGCAGCCAUCCAUCUGGCAGGACAUUAAUACUCCACAGUACAUAACAAGCUCAAACUCUUAAAACUAGCAGUCAUCCAGUCAACACAUAGGCAAACAGGGUUUCUCAAAAGUAUGAAUGGCCAAGAAAAACAAAAGGAAAAUAGGCAGGUGUGGUGGCGCACACUUUUAAUCCCAGCGCUCAGCAGGCAGAGGCAGGAGGAUCUCUGUGAGUUCGAGACCAGCCUGCUGGGGUUACAUAGAGAAUUCCAGGCCUGUAAGGGCUUCACAGUGAGACCCUGUCUCAAAAAGAAAAAAAAAAAAAAAGCAAGAACCAGAUGGGUGGCCACACCUUUGAUCCCAGCACUCUGCAGGCAGAGAAGGGCAUCUCUGUUGAGUUUGAGGACAACCUGGUCCACACAGUGAAUUCCUAGCCAGCCAAGGCUAUAAUGACAAUCUGUCUUUUAAAAAAGGGGAGGUGGGUGGGAACUGGAGAUGUGACUCCAUGAUUGAUAACAGCUGCUGUUCAAUCGGACCACUUAAUCAAUAGUUGAUUGGAUCCCAGCACCCAUGUCAGGUAGUUCACAAAGACCUGUAACUCCAGCUCCAAGGGAUCUCGACGGCCUCUUCUGGCAUCCGGACACACAUGUGUAUGUAACACUCACACAAGUAUAUAAACACAAACACGCAUAAGUAAAGGCAGCCUUUUUUUUUUUUAAUGUUUUUAUUUUAAAGAAAAGUGUCUAAUGGUGGCAUGUGCCUUUAGUCCCAGCACUGGGGAGAGAGAGUAGGUGAGAUGGAGGCCAGCCUAGUCUACUACAGAUCGAGUUCCAGAACAGCCAGGGCUACACAGAGAAACCCUAUCUCAAAACAGGGCCCCUCCAAAAAAAGAAAAAAAAGAAAGAAGAAAAAGAAAAAAAAAGAAAAAGGGUUUAGUUCAGGUCUCAGCAAGUAAAGGCACUCUAGACACGCCCAGCAGCCUUAGUCCUCUGAGCUCCACAUGUGAGCCAUCACACACACACACACACACACACACAUACACACACAGACUCACAAUAACAGUAAACUAGUAAUUCUAAGUCCUGAGGAGGCGGCUGAAGAGAUGGCUCAGCAGUUCAGAACACCUGCUGGCCCUGCACAGGACCCAGGUCCAAUUCACAGCGCACACAUGAGAGCUCACAACCGCCUGUAACUCCAGUCCCAGAUGAUCCAAGCCCUCUUCUGGCCUCCACAGACACCAAACACACAUGUGGUGUACAUUCAGACAUGCAGGCAAGACACUCAUAUACAUAGUUACCAGCUGACCAGUUUAUGUCUUAAAAGGACAAGGUACAGCUAGGAUGGGAGAACCUUCACGGCUGCUCCAGGCCCUGAGUUUGCUCCCCAACAUCACAAAGGAGGGGGGGCCACAGGUAGGCUACACUCCCCGCAGCAGACAGGGAUGCAGACUUGCCUCUACCUGAUGAUUCAGAGCGGAGAACUUAGCUACCGUCAGGCACAGUGCCCAGUACCUCAGCCUCCCAGGCAGCCCCGAAGAAUGCUAUCCAUAUCCUGGCCUCCUACCUGAGAAAAAUCUAAACGGAAAAGUGGCCCCAAAGGCCAUGUCCUGCACAGUCACAUAACCACCCCUCCCUCCGUACGUAAUCACCAGGGCCUGUCUGGAUUCUGCUACCUGCCAGCUUACGGACAUGAAGUUCUACUGUUCUGUGCCUCUGUUUCCCCAAAUGUCAAGUGGCUAGGAACCAUACCUACUGCACAUGUAAGACCACAGGCAGGUAUGUGCAGACAACUGGGAUGGAGAACAGUAACGAAUGGCUCAGCAUGUGCCAGCCCCUGGGCUCAUCCCCAGUGACAAAGAAAAAAGCAAGCCAGGUACAGUGGUGCCAGCCUUUCAUCGCAGAACUCAGAAGACUGUGAGUUCAAGGCCAGCCUGGUUUAUACAGUGAGUUCCAGCUAGCCAGGGCUGAGUAGUGAGACCUUGUCUAUUACCAAAAAAAAGGGGGGGUGUGGGGAGCACAACACUAACGGCAACGAGCACACAGCUUUAUUAUGACUGUGAUGGCUAGCGACACUCUCAGAGCUGAGGUAAGUAUCCCCAGCUGUUAAAACAUUCUGGGCUGUCACUAUCAAUAGCACCAAGGUGUUAAGACCUGAACUUGACCAAACAGUUUUCCCACCCAGCCAGACCUGCCUGUCAAAGGGCAAGGCACUCAACCAAAGCCAACAAUGUUAUCAGAACUAGAAGUCUCUUUCUGGAUCAGCCCUGUGCACUGGCCAGUCUGUCCAGGCCACUCGUUCCUCUCUCCACUUGGGAGUCAGUGAAGCAAGGCUCUGUGGUGCUCUAUGGGCCUCUAAGUCGUCCCUAGCAAUAACUGACCUAACGUACACAUCGGGACCAUCAGCUUCUCCCAGGGUCCUUCAGUCUCAGCUUGCCUCCUCUGCGCUCAGUGUGUGCACCUAAUGCUCACCAGAGCACCAAAGCUUGGAAGAGACCACCCUGUAACACAAACAUGGCCAUCGCUGUUCAAGACCCAGAACUCGCCAGUCAGUUCACAACUAUAACUCCAACCACAGGGCAUCUGAUGCCACGCAGACAGUACACAGAUAUACACAUGCAGACAAAAGACCCAUACCUAUAUACAUAAAAUACAGUAUAAAUAAAAGAAUGUGCACGGCCCCACCCCUUCCCGUGGCAGAGAAGGAUCCCACUCCAGGUCUGCUGCAAAGCCUACAUACCCUGCUGUCUUCCUAGGACGGAGAAUCAGUACAAAUACAGCUAUGGAAGGAGGGGGCUGGCCCCGGGCAGGGUCAGCUCCCAUCUGCACAGUACAGGUGUCGAGGCUGAGAUUGCUGGCCCAAUGUGCCGUGCAGCUUAUGGGUUCUGUAGAGGUGUGCAAGCUGAGCCACUGCGUGCCCAAGGCACAAGCCAUAUGUAUCCAUAUUCAUGGUCUGAGGCAUGCUCAAUCAGGAGAGCUGUGACGUGCUCAGAGCAGCCAGACACAGUAGCACACCUGGCACCGGCACAUAAGAGCAAUCUAAAAAGAAGUUGGCCAGGCGUGGAGAUUCAUGACUUUAAUCCUAGAACUUGAAAGGCAGGAGCAGAACGGAUCUCUCUUGAGUUCCAGGAUAGGGCUUCCGAAAAAAUUUUCUCAAAAAAACCAAAACUAAAUUAAAACUAAAAAGUAUCACACCCAAAGCUCUCCUGCACACACAGCCUUAAUAGCAUUAUCUAGCUUCAUCGUGAUGUUCCCUAACCUUCAUGGUCCUUUCACAACCACACAGGUUUCAUUCCAAGGACAGUUUCAUUCCGAGCACAGACAGGCUGAGAAGGUAGCCCAUCCAUUGAGUCAAACCAUUUUGUCAGGCAGCCAUACCAGAAUUCGGUCUGAGGCCUGACUCGGUGCCUGCACACAGGUCUACUUUCUCCUCACCUAUCACCUACCUGUCUGUUAUCUGCAAUUGCUUCAUAGCACCAGGCGUGAUGACACAAGUCUGUACCGCCAAUAAUCCACAGCAGGAAGAACACAGAUCCAAGUCUGCCUAUGUUACAUAGUGAGAGCCUGUCUAAAACUCCAGGAGCUUAGAAGCACACACCUUUGAUGCCAGCACUCAGGAGGCAGAGCCAAGUGCACCUAAGUUUGAAGCUAGCCUGGUCUAUGUUUGAAGCUAGCCUAGUCUAAGUUUGAAGCUAGCCUGGUCUAAGUGGCCAAAUUCCAGGUUAGCUAGGGCUACAUAGUGAGACCCUGUAAAAACAACAACAAAAAAUGAGGGGCAUUGGAGUGGCAAGCUCAGUGGUUUAUAGGCACUGAGUUUGGAUCCCAGAACCCCGAAUUGUGAUGGACAGAAGAGUGGUGCCCGGGAUCGCUGGCCUCCAGCCUAGCCCAGACUCAGGUUCCUGCGUCAAAACUUGGGCCAAGAAUGUUUAGGCACAUGACACCCUCCUCUGGCCCCUGCCCAAAUUCACAUACACCAAACACACACAGAUAAUGAUAAUAAUAACCAUAAUGUUUUUAAUCAGGCCUAGGGAUGCAGUUUAGUGGCACAUGCAAGAAAGGCCCUGGGCUCCAAUGCCUGACAUUAAAAACAAACAAACAAAAAAUACAGUAAUUUUUUUCAAUGUCUCUUGACCAAAAACUACUUUCAAAAUUUUCAUACUAAGUCCUCAGAGAGAGCCAGGCAGGCAAGAACUGGCCUGAGGCGAGGUACUAAACAGCUACCUUUACAGCCUGCAUGGUGAACUCUCACCAUUCCAUGAGCUCAAGGUCAGCCUGGGCUACAGAGACUCCCUACAUGGAUGACUCUCAGGAGAUUUACAAGGCACAGUAUCUGUCUCGAGCUACCACAGGCAUGCUCUCCGAGCACCGUCUCCAGUGGCAAAAACACUAAUAAAAAAAUUUUAAAAAAGAAACCCUGAGCCCAGGAUAAGCUGUUUUCCAACAACCCUGCUGAUUUAUAACUAUCCUAAGUUAUAUUCCCUGUUCAGGAAGCUUCCCCUCCACUAGGCCUAGGCAGGGAAGGGAGUCUCUUUACUGAUAAAUAAGCAAUGAACUGUGCUGAUAGGAAACUUACCAAGAAGCCGCAAUCUGCACUCCAGGUGGAAUCCACUGUGCCUUGGGUCUUCCCUGUGACCGUAACUGACCGUGAAGUCCUGAACCUUUCUGAGCUUGGCUCUUUUUAGGGCUGUUUACCUGCAUGUUUAGGGCUGUUUACCUGCAUGCACAUCACAUGCACUUAGCUUAUGCAAUGCCCACAGGACAGAAGAGGGUGCUGGGGCCCUAGAACUGCUGUUGCAGAUGGGUAGACAGAAUGUUGGUGAUGUUGGGAACUGAACCUGGGUCUUCUCGACCCAUCUCUCCAGCCCCUGAGCACCAAGUCUGGGGGGCGCGGCUUUGGGGGCAGGGUGCUUGAUUAGCCUGUGCAAGAAAGACCCUGGGUUCCAGCUCAGCACCACAACAUCCAAAAAUAAUUAACUGUACUUCAUUAUAUCUGUGGUGUCUUCCUAUGGGCAAAAAGUCUUUCUCCUUCUUAAAAUUCAUUGUAUUCCAGAAAUUGGUUCUCUCCUGCCACCUUGUGGGGUGAAAGGAUCAAAUUCAGGUAGGCCUCAAAGACGCAUCUCUACCUGAUGAACUGUCUCACUACCUCCGAGGCUUCUGAGACGGGAGGUUUCCCAGUGGACAGAGGUGCAAGAGGGCAAAGGAUCGACUCAGUCCUUCAAAGACAGGAUCUCUAGCCCCAGUUGGCAUCAAACUCACUAUGUAGUUGAAGAUAACCUUGCAUCCUUCUGCCUCCAUGUCCCAAGACCUGGAACUACAGGCGUGUACCAGCUUGCUUGCCGGGUUUUCCUCAGGGCCAGGGAUCCGACCCAGGUUAGGAAAGUGCUCUACCAAAUGAGCUCCACCCCUAUUCCCCAGUUUGGUUCUUCCCUGCCUUUGUGCUGCUGUGGAACCCAGAGCCUCCGAGCCGCGUGUGUGCACACUUGUGCAUACAACUGCUCUGCCGGAGGAACUACCAUCAGCCCAUCGAGGCACUGGGAGAAAUCAGGCUCUGAAAUAAACCAGAUCAAGUUUUCCAGGCCAAACUGUGAGCCUCAGGCUGUGUUCACACUCCUUGAAACAAAGCACCCGCCCCAAGUCUCAGAAGCCUACCUGGCCUGAUUUUCUACUAGCAAAUUAAAAUGAUUGGCUGCAAACUCCAUCAUCCGCCUGUACUUCUCAAACUGAACAUGGCUUUUCCCCCAGAGCAAGAGAGGGGGUGGGAAAGGAAAAACACCCCAGGGAACAAACCUCCUUUUGAAAGCACAGAGUUGAUGGGGCGUAAGGAUUGCAGACUCCCAUCUCUGGUCCUCUGGCAUCAUGUUAAAAAAAAAAAAAGAAAAAAGACUGGGGAUUUCAAGAUUCAUUUCACAGGCCCUGGGAAAACUACCAACAAUAAUCAUGAUACAGAAGAUGAAUAGCAAUAUUAGUAUUCAACUUGUGAUAAAAAAAAAUAGGAUUAUUUCCUAUGUAUUGGAGGUUCCUGAAGUAUGCCAAUUUCCAGAGACAAGUGGUGGUUGCCAGGGGCUGGGGGAGGAGGGAAUGGGGAGAUACUGUACACUGCUGUACAGCUUCAGUUUUACAAGAUCAAAGAGAGUUUAGAGUACUUGCCUAGCAGGAGAAAAGCCCUGAGUUCUAAGCCUAGCACUACAAACUGAGGGAGCAGGCAGGGAAGGGGAAAAAAAAAAAAAACAAAAAAAACCCUAACCUAAGGCUAGGCUGAGGUUGACUAAAUUCAUCACAAAUUUAAGAUCUGAGGGGAGAAAUACACACAACUCUCAGCUUGGCAGCUUUCAUUUACCCGGAACCGCACUGCUAGUGGUUAGAAACUAUGCCUUUGAAAAGAAAUCUGCAUUUCCUUUCUGUUCUGCAAUUACUAGCAGGGACCUUCCAACAACUCACUGGACAUCUCUGACUUUCACCUACAUAGUAACAAACUACAAAUCCCUCCGCAGAGGACUAUGAGUCUGAGGACAUAACAAAACCUCAGUAAUACGGUAGUUAGCCCUGACUAAUGUAUUCUUACUAUGAAUGUGAGCAGUGAGUUACUGUUUUAUGAUGAUUACUUAAAAGUCAGCAACAACGAAAUUAGUAUCAUCAGGUCGAGAAGAGCAUUAGAAGAUUUGGUUUUAAGAGGAAAGGUGACCCAAGAUACAGUCAGAAGACAUGAGCUUCCAGAAUGGUCUUGCGCAUUCAGAUUUCUUCCCUGGCGGUCACGGGCUGGCGUGACCCUGGAACCAACUCCCUCGCCGCCCAGGCAUCUUGGCGAGGUGGGUGCGAAGGUCGGAAGAGGCAGGCUGGCUGCAGAGCCCCUCCUGAGCCCGAGGCGCUGACAACGUGCAAGGAUUGUGCAAGAGAAUCGUUCGUACCAAAACCAAGUGCUCCGCACCGCACUCCUCCUGAACACCUGCCACUCAGGCCAUCAAGGAUGCUGCAAGGAAGCUGCAAGCUUCUCCUAGGCCCUGCAAGACCCUAAGAAAAGGCAUCCCCAAACAACCUGGGUGGCAGGUUUAUAAAUACCCCCCUGCACAUGCGCAAUGAGACUACACUGCGCCUGCGCCAUGGCGGAGAGUCAGACCAUAAAAAAAGGUUCCGAGGCCCUGCAGGACACUUGCGGUCUGCGGUAAUCAUGGCCCAGGGCCCCGCGCUGCUUACCUCGUAGUGCUUCAUGGUUCUUCCACAGGAUGGCACCUGCUCUGCUGCAACUGAGUGGCCGCCGUACCGCACCAAACACCACCCAGCUCCACACACACUCGGGGAGCAGCACUCCCGGACUCCGGCUCCGCCCCCCUCUAUGCGUGCGUCCCUCCUGCCAAUCAGCGUGGGGUGCACCCACUGCUCGCGCCACACAACUGACCAAUCAGAUUUCUCGAUCCAAGGAGCGCAGCGGACCCCCUCCCCCCCACUUUGGCAAGCAAGAUUAAAACCCGGCCACCCACCAAUCAAAAGGAAGCCUGGGCGCCGCGCGCCCUCUGGCUCCGCCCAUUGCAGUGUUGCGGUGGAAAUCCAGCGACGUCAGGCUGAGGGGUCAAUGCGGCAAAACGAGAACAAAGAGCUGCGUGGCCCGGAGAGCCAGGCUUGGGGUGAAUUCGUAGAUGUAGAGAAGCUCAUCUAAGAGAUGAGACCUCAGAUUAUCAUCCAUCACCAGGACCCUUGAAAGGACUCCAGAUAUCACGAAUGGAGAAAGGAAAAGAAAACCUGCACCGCAUUCUACAGGUGCCCCUCCUAAAACAGCUCCUGUCAGUUGAGCUGGCCCUAGAAGCAAAACCACCUUUGUCUCUGCCUGCGUUAUCGUGUACAGUUUGGUUACUACUGGCCACAUGUAGCUACUGAGCCCUUGAAAUAUACAGGAAAAAAAUGACAGGUGCUGCCAGUCUAAAAAUACAGGACAUCAGAGAACAGUGCAGAGAAAGACGACAUUACAGGGGCUGGUGAGAUGGCUCAGUGGGUAAGAGCACCAACUACUCUUCCAAAGGUACUGAGUUCAAAUCCCAACAACCACAUGGUGGCUCACAACCACCCAUAAUGAGAUCUGAUGCCCUCUUCUGGUGCGUUUGAAGACAGCUACAGUGAACUUAUUUUAAUAAAUAAAUCUUUGGACCGGAGCAAGUGGGGUUGGCCAGAGCAAGCAGAGGUGUAGAGGUCCUAAAUUCAAUUCCCAACAAUCACAUUAAGGUUCACAACCAUCUGUACAACUACAGUGUGUACUCAUAUAUAUAGAAUAAAUAAAUCUUAAAAAAAAAAAGACAUUACAAAUGAAGGCAUUUGGUAUCCUACCUAAUGGGCUCAAUUCAAUCCCAGGGACCCACAUAAUGUAAGGCCGGAACAGAGACACCAUGGCACAUGUGCAAGCACACAUAUACACACACUCUCAUAAGUAAAUAUAAAAUGUUAAAAGCCUAGUGCAGCCAGAUUCUGCUUGCUGUAGUCUGCAGCCUGAAUAUAUAUAUGUAUAUACUGCAGGAAUAAAUGUUCAGACAUGGCAUUUAGGGUUAGUUUAAUAAUAUUAUAUAACAGGCCCAAUAAAAUUGUAGACUUUCUUGCCAGAAAAAGGGGGGAGGGGCUGUGGAUCAGAACAGACGUUUUCAGUAGAAGAAAUACAAAUGGCUAACAUAUAUCUCAAAGUAUUCAUCAUUCUUUAGAGUUAGAGAAACAGAAAUUAAACUUUGAGGCUUCAUCUCAUCUCUGUCAGAAUGGAUAAAACCAAUAAAACAACCAUUAACAAAUUCUAGAGGGCGUGUAGGGAAAGGUAACCCCUUGUUCACUGCUGGGAGGAUUGCAAACUGGUGUAGCCACUAUGGAAAUAAGUUUGAGAAUUCUCAAAAAGCCAAAAAAAUAAACCAUAUAAUCCAGCUAUACUGCUCCUUGGCAUAUGACCAAAGGACUUCUCACUCCACAGAUACUUGCUCAGCCAUGUUGGCUGCCAUACACAGUAGCUAGGAAAUACAACGUACGUAAACAUUCUCUGAUCGACGGCUGGCUAAUGGCAGUGUGGUACAUAUACUCUGUGCAAUACUAUUUUGCUGUAAAGAAAA